AGGAUUUCGGAGAAACGUGUGUGUCGCGAUCUUUAUCGCUCCACUUGGAAACAACACAAAGCCGUCUGAUCGAAGAAGAAAGCUGAAUGAACACCUGUGUAUCUCUGUUCCACCUGAGGGGCCAUGCAGGUCACGACUCCAACUCUGCCACAAUCCAGUUUUUGUGAAAUGCACCUUUUCCGAAUUGCCUGAAAAACCACCUCAUGUAACACAGUGCCCUCAGGUAAAGCCCUCCAGGCCCAGACGUCUGUCCUGGCCUUCCGUGGUCCUCUCGGAGCCCAGCACACAGGUGUCCCUGCUGGGCUCUUAAACAGGACAAUAGGCGCUGGAUCUGAAUGGGUUCAGACUUUACACACACAGACUUCGAGAGUCAUUCCCCACUGAGGACUCUUUACCUGGCAGACAACAACAAAAAAAGAAAAGAAAAUCCCCUGUAUUUACAUUAAAGGAGGGACCUGUGGUAUAGCUGGUCACCAAGCCGGUCUAGUGUGAUGGUUUAAGAGGGGUUUUGGGAAAGCUCAAUAAUAACAAAACUGGUUGUUGCAGGCGGUUCACACACAUCUGUUUGUGUGUUUUGGCAUUGAGUCUGAUUGAGAAGCAGGUCUGUUCAAAUGAAGUCAAAU